rnacentral:lncRNA from 1 species
GAUUGCAUCCAGGAUGUCACAUCACAUUUAGUUGAAAUUGUCUCCUAAGCACCUCUUGGCUGUGGAAAACAAAAACCAAAAUAAUCAAGAGCUCUAAAGACCCAAUUCUAAGUUGGUGGCAUUACCAUCUUUUAAAAAAAGCUAAUGAAGAAAUGUAGGAAGAAAAUGAUUUUCAAUGUCAAAGAUGGAAUUAAUGAAAACCAAGAAUUAAUGAAACUACAAGAAUCAAUUACAAGAAUAAAGGGAGAUUGCUUGAAAGACUCAUAACUUGAAGAGUCCCUGACAGAAAUUGCUGAAUGUCACUUCUGCUCACCAUGGGCUGGAAUGAUCCACAUGACCUCAUCUCACUGUAUGGAAGAAUGGAGAACGGGAGGAGUGUAUGGAAGUCAACCAGAAUUAAGUUUCUGCCACAUGUGUGCCAUGAAAAGUUGCUGAACAUUGUUUGGAACCAGGAAAAGGGAACUGAAGCUGCUUUGCAAAACAAUGUGGUGUACCCAUUUCCAGAAAGGAAAGCUAUACAAAUUAGGUUAUAUUGAUGAACAAUUUUCCACUUAUCAUUAAAAAAAUUAGACUGUUCCUCCAAGAAUUAUUGUUUAUCAUUGGUACAUGUGUGUCUGUUCUGGAAGUUCAUGCAUUCAUCCAUUCAUUUGGCAAAUAUUUUUUUGUGCCUGCUAUGUAGUUGCCAGAAAUAAAGUAACAAACAAACAUCA